rnacentral:rRNA from 1 species
AUUGAACGCUGGCGGCAUGCUUUACACAUGCAAGUCGAACGGUAACAGGCCUUCGGGUGCUGACGAGCGGCGAACGGGUGAGUAAUGCAUCGGAACGUACCCAGAGGUGGGGGAUAACACAGCGAAAGCUGCGCUAAUACCGCAUGUGAUCUGAGGAUGAAAGCGGGGGACCGAGCAGCAAUGUUUGGCCUCGCGCCUUUGGAGCGGCCGAUGUCGGAUUAGCUAGUUGGUGGGGUAAAGGCCUACCAAGGUGACGAUCCGUAGCUGGUCUGAGAGGACGACCAGCCACACGGGGACUGAGACACGGCCCAGACUCCUACGGGAGGCAGCAGUGGGGAAUUUUGGACAAUGGGCGCAAGCCUGAUCCAGCAAUGCCGCGUGCGGGAAGAAGGCCUUCGGGUUGUAAACCGCUUUUGGCAGGAACGAAACGGUGUCCGCUAAUACCGGGCGCUAAUGACGGUACCUGCAGAAUAAGCACCGGCUAACUACGUG